CUUAUACCUUUUGUUGCCUCGGCGCUGCUGGUCUUCACAGGCCCUUUACUUCACAGUAAAGAGACGGCACGCCGGCGGCCAAGUUAACUCUUGUUUUUACACUGAAACUCUGAGAAAAAACACAAAUGAAUCAAAACUUUCAACAACGGAUCUCUUGGUUCUGGCAUCGAUGAAGAACGCAGCGAAAUGCGAUAAGUAAUGUGAAUUGCAGAAUUCAGUGAAUCAUCGAAUCUUUGAACGCACAUUGCGCCCUCUGGUAUUCCGGAGGGCAUGCCUGUUCGAGCGUCAUUUCAACCCUCAAGCACUGCUUGGUGUUGGGGCACUGCUUUUAACGAAGCAGGCCCUGAAAUCUAGUGGCGAGCUCGCCAGGACCCCGAGCGCAGUAGUUAAACCCUCGCUCUGGAAGGCCCUGGCGGUGCCCUGCCGUUAAACCCCCAACUUCUGAAAAUUUGACCUCGGAUCAGGUAGGAAUACCCGCUGAACUUAAGCAUAUCAAUAA
rnacentral:rRNA from 1 species